CCUACGGGAGGCAGCAGUGGGGAAUCUUGCGCAAUGGGCGAAAGCCUGACGCAGCAACGCCGCGUGCGGGAAGAAGGCUUUCGGGCUGUAAACCGCUUUCAGCAGGAACGAAAAUGACGGUACCUGCAGAAGAAGGAGCGGCCAACUAUGUGCCAGCAGCCGCGGUGAUACAUAGGCUUCAAGCGUUGUCCGGAUUUAUUGGGCGUAAAGAGUUCGUAGGCGGUCAAGUAAGUCGGGUGUGAAAAUUCUGGGCUCAACCCAGAGACGCCACCCGAUACUGCUUAACUUGAGUUCGAUAGGGGAGUGGGGAAUUCCUAGUGUAGCGGUGAAAUGCGCAGAUAUUAGGAGGAACACCGGUGGCGAAGGCGCCACUCUGGAUCGAUACUGACGCUGAGGAACGAAAGCAUGGGUAGCAAACAGGAUUAGAUACCCUGGUAGUCCAUGCCGUAAACGGUGGGCACUAGGUGUGGGUUUCUAUUAACGAAAUCCGCGCCGUCGCUAACGCAUUAAGUGCCCCGCCUGGGGAGUACGGUCGCGAGACGAAACGUACGAAGAAGUAGUAACGGCGUGAGAGUGCCGACGGACGACGACGAGGGAGGAGG
rnacentral:rRNA from 1 species